AUGGCUUCCUCCGCGGACAGCUCCGAGGAGGAAGAGAAGCGGCAGUGCUGCAUCCCUGAAGCGGCGGACCGCCCCCUGCGACACCCCCUCGCCUGCAGCGACAGCAUCCGCCUCGUCGACGACCACUGCGCCCCCCAAAUGCUCGCCUAUAGCCGCCGCCAUUACCGAGGCGAGGUGUGCAGCAAGGUCGACAUCUCGAGCCAACCUUCCUGGGCUGCAGGCGCCACUGUUCUGCCAAUCCGCGGUUAUCGAUUCAUUUGGGCUGUUGCUUGUCUCACACAGUUAGCGAGUUCUUUUUCCAAUGGAGGAUGUCCAGGCUUGGAGUGCAUUUCUAGUGUUGAUUCAUUUCAAGAAGAUACAUAUGAGUCAAGCUUCGAAAUAUCUCCAACAGAGUUAGUAGAAUCAAUCUUAACUCUACCUGAAAGAUCCAGGGAGGGACUGAAAGGAAGAUUGUAUGAAUCUGAUGCAAACGGAAGCAGAGUACUAACUCAUGAAGCUGUUUCAAAACCUCUUGACGAAGUUCCAUCCUUUUCGACAAUUCUUCGAGUGAAAGUUAUGUUAGACAUUAAUGGUGGUAAGUGCUCCUACAUUCUCACAAGUAAACAUCAAGAUAUUGUCAAAGCUCUUAAAUGGAAGCCAUUCAGUUUGAAAAUGGCCACAGUUCACUGCAAGAGAGGGACAUGCGUCUCGUCAGCAUCAUAUCCUGGCCACAAUGCAUCAGUAAAGUCAGAGGCCUUGAAUAAUCUGAGGAACCUUAUGAUGAUAGUGGCACUGCAAUUCGGCACAACCAAAAUGGCCGGAGAUUUGGAUUUUCUCUUCCAAAUAGUGACAACAGAAUGUGGACUGGAAAUAUUGAAGACCUCAGCUUGA
rnacentral:rRNA from 1 species